GUGCUAAUUUUGCAGCAUAUAUACUAAAACUGGAACAAUACAAAAAAGAUUAGCACGCCCCCUGUGGAAGAAUAACUUAUAAACGUAAAGCAUUCUUUAUAUUU
rnacentral:snRNA from 1 species